rnacentral:rRNA from 1 species
UACGAAGGGGGCUAGCGUUACUCGGAAUCACUGGGCGUAAAGCGCACGUAGGCGGGUCGUUAAGUCAGGGGUGAAAUCCUGGAGGCUCAACUCCCAGAACUGCCCUUGAUACUGGCGAUCUCGAGUUCGGGAGAGGUGAGUGGAACUGCGAGUGUAGAGGUGAAAUUCGUAGAUAUUCGCAAGAACACCAGUGGCGAAGGCGGCUCACUGGCCCGAUACUGACGCUGAGGUGCGAAAGCGUGGGGAGCAAACAGG